rnacentral:lncRNA from 1 species
GCUCCUUAUCAGAGCCGUGCCUUACUUUCCCUUUGCGUGAACAAGCGGUGAAGAAGGCGGAAUUGCGAUGCCAGCUAUCGUCACCGACAGAUCUGGCCGCGCGCGACAGAUCUGACCGCACCAGGGGGCGCGCUGAAGUUACCGCGAGUAUAGGGACUUUAGCCGCGAGUAGAAACAGCGCUUGCAUGUAGGCUCCCUAACCGCGAGUAAAGCUUCCAGGAGCUUUAACCGCGAGCGUUUCAAAGGGCCGUGCUCAUGGUUCUCUUCCCAAGUUCUAUCGAGUCUACAUAGUGUGUGCACCGCUCGUGGCUCUUUUGGUAACGUUCAAGCCUUGACCAGCGCCUGAAGAUACGGUGCAGUUCCUUACAACUGCUGAGGAUCUUUUGAAGAGUGAAGCAGGUCAUGAAUUGCAAUUUUCUUACAUUCUUGUCACCCAUAUAUCAUUAAGCAAUUUUAUUCUUUCACGGAACCACAAGGCCUGCUGGCUUCCAUUGUUU